rnacentral:lncRNA from 1 species
UCAAUAACGGAUUCAUUUCUUUGUGAUUUCUAAUAUAUAUUUUAAGAAAAAAAAACUCUUUUGGUAUUAAUUCUCUCGUUCUAAAGAAAAGAGGCCCGGUAAUUCAGAGGCGACUCCCAGUAAGUAAAGUGAUUGUUCAUACAAGGAAUCAAACUCGAGUUUUCCGAAAAGAUUCCUCCGAAAACAUACAGUAAUAUACAAAUUAAGUUCAAUAUAUAUUUGCUUAAUAAUAUACCAUGAGCAAGAGCAAGUAAAGUAAUUAUUCUUAUCAGGAGUUAAACUCGAGUUGUCCUGAAUGAUUUGUCUUAGAACACGAGGUGUAAUAUGCAAAUUAAGUUCUAUUUAUUUUUGCUCAAUAAUAUGCAAAGUUAUCUUUUGGUAGUAACUCUCUAGUAUUCACUAGCUUGUUUU